AUGAUUGUUUUCUUUCCCAUUAUUGUUCCAUUUUGUUGCCUGACAAUGUUGCUGUCCAAAAGGUGUAAUACUAUGAAUCCAGCCACCCUGUUGCCUCUGGAACAAGGGGGGAGGGAAGAGUUAGGGUACUUAAUCUUUUCUUCCAGAUCCAGAGGAAGAGGCUCACGACUGCAGAUGAUGUCACAAGAGACAGCAGGAUAUGGUAAAUCAGCCAUUAGGUAACCCAGAUCAUGUGCUCUUUGUGAAUGGAUCGAGGUAUGACCAGUAUGGCAGGUACUACAGAGAUUGGGCAGUGGUGAUUAAAAGCCAACAUU